rnacentral:tRNA from 1 species
AAGUGACUAGUUUAUUAAAAACAAUUAAUUUCGACUUAGUAAAUCUCGCAUAAUCGAGGUCACAAA